rnacentral:rRNA from 1 species
AUACGGAGGGGGCUAGCGUUGUUCGGAAUUACUGGGCGUAAAGCGCACGUAGGCGGAUUGGAAAGUUGGGGGUGAAAUCCCCGGGCUCAACCCUGGAACUGCCUCCAAAACUAACAGUCUAGAGUUCGAGAGAGGUGAGUGGAAUUCCAAGUGUAGAGGUGAAAUUCGUAGAUAUUUGGAGGAACACCAGUGGCGAAGGCGGCUCACUGGCUCGAUACUGACGCUGAGGUGCGAAAGCGUGGGGAGCAAACAGGAUUAGAAACCCCAGUAGUCC